UGGUGGGUUGCCUUGUCAGGUUGAUUCCGGUAACGAACGAGACCUCAGCCUGCUAAAUAGUCACAUCUGCUUCUUGCAGGUGGCCGACUUCUUAGAGGGACUAUUGCCGCUAGGCAAUGGAAGUAUGAGGCAAUAACA
rnacentral:rRNA from 1 species